CACACACGCACACACACACACACAAACACACAAAGUUGACAAAGUUGACAACCUGUAAUUUCCUGUGCAAGAGCCUGCUGCUGUUACGAGACUGCACUUCAAACCCCCACUCUGUGUGAGCUUCACCCCCCUAGCUGCACGGAUAUGACUCUGGGUGUGAGAGAGAGAUGGACAGGAAGAGAGAAGGGGGCGUGUAGGUUGAUCAUGUUGAGAUAUAUUUGGCUUCCUAUAUGAAGUUAGCAGAAGAAGAUUAAUCUGCAGCAGCGUGAUAAGAGGAAGGAACUAGAUAGACAGCCCAAAGAAGAGAUAUCUAACAGGAGGACAAGUUUAUUCUUUUUCUACACAUUUUAGUGAGAGCGGAUUACCGUCUUAUUUACCACUGAAAUAAACAAUUUGAAGGACUUCUUACCACUAAUAUGACAACUAAGGUCCCGCUUUUGAUACUGGGCCUCUGUCUGAGCCCUGGAGUGCAUGUGCAUGGAGAAGGCAGAGAGGGAUGCAACGGACAAUGUGAAGAUGAAGAUGUAGAUGAGUGUGCCUCUCUGAUUCCGAUCUGUGGUCUGGGUGCCAACUGCACCAACACACCAGGCAGCUACUACUGCACUUGUCAUCCAGGAUACAGAUCCUCAAAGGGGGAGGGGUUUCCAGCAGAUUACUCACAUUGCCAAGGUAAGGGCUCUUAUAUAGCGACCACCACAGACUUGUUUCUAGAAUAUUUUUGGGAUGGAGAAAAACUGCUCAUAAAAUUACUUUCUUAACUCUGUCUCUCUGUCACAUUCACACACACAUGCGCAGUGAUUGGAAGUAUUUAAAAGAGGUAUCAUGGUGGGUUAGGGCUGAUUUUCCAGACGUGGAUUAAGACUAGUUCUAGCCUAGACUAAAAGCUCAGUAGAGAUCUU
ensembl:lncRNA